CUCGUAGGCGGUUCAGUAAGUUGGGUGUGAAAGCUCCGGGCUCAACCCGGAGAGGCCACUCGAUACUGCUGUGACUGGAGUCCAGUAGAGGAGCGUGGAACUCCUGGUGUAGCGGUGAAAUGCGCAGAUAUCAGGAAGAACACCGGCAGCGAAGGCGGCGCUCUGGGCUGGUACUGACGCUGAGGAGCGAAAGCAUGGGUAGCAAACA
rnacentral:rRNA from 1 species